rnacentral:rRNA from 1 species
UACGUAGGGUGCAAGCGUUAAUCGGAAUUACUGGGCGUAAAGCGUGCGCAGGCGGUUCGCUAAGACCGAUGUGAAAUCCCCGGGCUAACCUGGGAACUGCAUUGGUGACUGGCGGGCUAGAGUAUGGCAGAGGGGGGGUAGAAUUCCACGUGUAGCAGUGAAAAUGCGUAGAGAUGUGGAGGAAUACCGAUGGCGAAGGCAGCCCCCCUGGGCCAAUACUGACGCUCAUGCACGAAAGCGUGGGGGAGCAAACAGG